rnacentral:ribozyme from 10 species
CGCAAGAUGUGCGCACAAGCUGCGUCACAGCAAAGGAAGGAACGGUGAACCCAGCCCGGUGCAUGUCCAAAAUCUGCUUGAGGGCA